UACGUAGGGGGCAAGCGUUGUCCGGAUUUAUUGGGCGUAAAGAGCGUGUAGGCGGCUUUACAGGUCCGUUGUGAAAUCUCCAGGCUCAACCUGGAGGGGUCAUUCGAUACUGCCGUGACUAGAGUUCGGUAGGGGAGUGUGGAAUUCCUGGUGGAGCGGUGAAAUGCGCAGAUAUCAGGAGGAACACCCGUAGCGAAGGCGGCACUCUGGGCCGAUACUGACACUGAGGAGCGAAAGCGUGGGGAGCGAACAGG
rnacentral:rRNA from 1 species